UACGUAGGGGGCAAGCGUUGUCCGGAUUUAUUGGGCGUAAAGAGCUCGUAGGCGGUUCCGUAAGUCGUGAAGUCAAAUCUCUGGGCUCAACCCAGAAUCGCUUCCGAUACUGCGGUGACUGGAGUCCGGUAGGGAGUGUGGAAUUCCUGGUGUAGCGGUGAAAUGCGCAGAUAUCAGGAGGAACACCAACAGCGAAGGCAGCACUCUGGGCCGGUACUGACGCUGAGGAGCGAAAGCAUGGGGAGCGAACAGG
rnacentral:rRNA from 1 species